rnacentral:rRNA from 1 species
CAGCAGCCGCGGUAAUACGUAGGGUGCGAGCGUUAAUCGGAAUUACUGGGCGUAAAGCGUGCGCAGGCGGUUUGUUAAGACAGAUGUGAAAUCCCCGGGCUUAACCUGGGAACUGCAUUUGUGACUGGCAGGCUAGAGUAUGGCAGAGGGGGGUGGAAUUCCGCGUGUAGCAGUGAAAUGCGUAGAUAUGCGGAGGAACACCGAUGGCGAAGGCAGCCCCCUGGGCCAAUACUGACGCUCAUGCACGAAAGCGUGGGGAGCAAACAGGAUUAGAUACCCCAGUAGUCCCUGUCUCUUAUAC